GAUGAACGCUGGCGGCGUGCUUAACACAUGCAAGUCGGACGGGAAGUGGUUGUUCCAGUGGCGGGCGGGAGAGGAACGCGGGAGAACAUGCCCUGGGUAGGGGGACCAUGGCUGGGAACUGCUGCUAAUACACUGUGGGCAGUGGAGGAAAAGGGGGAAUCCGGCCGAGGAGGGGCUGGCGUGUGAUUAGCUAGUUGGUGGGGCAAUAGCUUAACAAGGCGAUGGUCAGGCGCCCGUCCGAGAGGAUGAUCCGCCACACUGGGACUGAGACACGUCCCAGACUCCUACGGGAGGCAGCAGGGGAGAAUUUUCCGCAAUGGGCGACAGCAUGAAGGAGCAAUGCCGCGUGGAGGAAGAAGGCCUACGGGUCGUGAACUUCUUUUCCCGGCGAAGAAGCAAUGACGGUAUCUGGGGAAUAAGCAUCGGCUAACUAUGUG
rnacentral:rRNA from 1 species